UGCCCGGUCGUCUAAGGGUAGGACAGCGGUUUUUGGUACCGUACGUGGGGGUUCGAAUCCUCCCCGGGCAA
rnacentral:tRNA from 1 species